UCUUCUGUGAUUUAGGGGACACUUCUAUUGGAUUUUACCAGUCACCUUUUUUGCAGUGUUUCCCGGGUUAGGUUUAUUGGUAGUGUUUUACAAUAUGCCAGCCAUACAGAAGCUUUAUAACGCCUGCAAAGUGUCUCUUUCUACUAAUGGGCCUAUAUCAGAAGAUGCUAUUGAGAAAGUUCGGAACUUAUUAGGUAAUAAGUCGCUUUUGUUAUUUUGAGUAGAAGUCAACUAAGUGUUUCGAUCCAAGUAUGUCCAUUACAGGAUAACUUUCAAAUUUUAAUGGUUGUGCUUUACCUUCAGUAACUGUGUGCUAGGCUGCUAGCAUGUACCCAUAUAUUCAGAGAUUAACUGCUAUACUGCAUGUGGCCUCCUGGGUGCCUUUUUUAGUUGCCAAACAACGGCGUGGUGCAAUUGUUGAUAUUUUUUACUUGCGCAUUUUUUCAAUAUCAUUUCCCAAAAUUAUCAUUGUGAUUCUAUUGUUGAAUUUUCUUGAUAAUAAAUUCAAUAUUUGAGAAGAAGUGGCAAAAUGAUCUCAUUUUUUGAAUCCUUUUGAGAGCUCCGACUUCUUAAUUAAGCAAGUAGUCAGAGUUUAAUUUUGAUCUUGCACAAUUGCACUUCACGAAUCUGUAUGGUGAUCAUGUUUAUUGUAUGUAAAACAAAAUUAUAUGGAAGAAAAUGGCUGUUUAUAUGAAGGAAUAAUUCCCAAGUCAUGCUCAUCAGUUGUGCCAGUGUUUAACAUGUGAAUGAGCUGUAUUUUGUCUCGAAACAAAUUAAGAUGGAAAUGGUGUAUGACAAGUACAUGUUUUAUUUUUAGAGAAAUAAAUAGUGCAAGUGUGUGUGUGUCCUUAUAUGGUUGGUUAGGGAUCAUGGUGCCACUGGAUUGUAGUUACAUGUUUAAUGUGCAAGGUUCUAUCUAUAGCGUGUUUGUUCUAGAAUCUGUUGUCUCGUGUUCUAUAUAGUCCUUUACUCCUUUCACCCUUUAUCUGAUUUUUGAUGUGGUUUAAAAUGAAUAUCAAAGAGAACCCUAUAAUUGUAGUCUUACAAGGGACAAGUGGUUAAGAUUUAAAGAAUAUUAUUAAAUAACAUGAAACAGGGGUGUCAAAUUUGGGUAAUGGGUUAGUUUGUGUUGCGCUCCCGCUUUUGGGUCAACUCGGACCCAACCUGAACCAAAACAGGUAAAAUAAAAAUGUAAAUCUUACCUGACGUGUUAUGUGCAUGGGUAACCUGAAUAUAACUUGAAAAUCAUCAUAAAUCAAUUAUUUUAAUCAUAUAAAAUGAUUUAUAUAUGUAUAUCGAUAUGAUAUAUUGCAAAAUAUAUAAUAGUAUUUUAUGAGAUGAUAUGUGAAUUAAAAUUAUGUAAGUGAUUUGUAGAUACAUCACACAUGUAUAAAUAUAUUAUAAAUUUUAGGCCGGAUUCGGGUAUUUUGGCCCAAAACUGAGUUACUAACCCAAUUGUUUAGGUAGAUUUACCCAACCCAAUUUGAAACUUAAAACCCACGACACAGAUUUGUAUUUAUUCGUGUCAGAUUUAUUGUGGGGUUCGGGUUGUGUUGAAUAUUGCCACUACUAACUUGACACAACUCUAAUGUUAAAACUACAAAGAAACAAAUUUUGUUGGCCAUUCUCUGAUACUCUGAUUUUAGAAACAGGAAAAAAGAUUAUUAUUUUCUUUGGGAUCUAAUUAUUUGUUUCCUCCUUAUGUUCUUGAUUUAGAUGUUCGAAAAGAACUUAACUUCAUGUAUUUCAUAGGUGAUUUGGGUGUUCUAUAGGAUGAUAUAAUGUUUUAAAAUAUAUCAAUUUUUUUGUAUAUUGUUAUAAGAGGAGAUCAAGAGUUUUAUAUUCAGCGAUUAAAGAAUAAGUUUAUAUUUAUUUAUUGUGAUGGAAGGUUUAGAAAUCAGAAUUUGACACUCAUGAACCUAAAUAUAAUUUGAUUAUUAUAAGAGAGUAAGGAACUAUAGAAUAAUGAUUAGAUAUAUGUUUCACAUAGUGUUAAGUUAAUUUAUAGAAACAUUUAGGCAAAAUUUAUAUUUAAUAUAAAAUUGUUAAUGACGAUAAAACAUAAAUAAAAGCUUAACAAAUGUGACCAAGUAAACAUAUGUGAGCAUAAUAUUGAAGAUAGGAGACAAUGAAAAUCAAUCCGACAACAUCCUGACAUUAUAUGACACCAGAUGUAUUAAAAUAAACACUCAUGCAAAUGAAAUAAAAUCAGGGUAUAGAAAACCAGAGAAAUGUGUGUUUCCUUUUCCUUUGGUGUGACGUAGGUGAAAACCAUAUGACAAACCGUGAUUUUCUUAGGCAGGCCAAAUACAUAUUACGACAGGGAAGGAUAGAAACAGUCUGGUUGUACAAUUGGGACUGAUCAGCUGCUUACUGCCUAGGGAUGAGGGAACACUUCUGAGAUUGUCCGGCAUUUUUAUGUGUUUUACAGACAUACUGUAUUUAAUAGCUUUGGAGGAGUUGGGCUGGGCUUGGCUACUGAAAUGUUAAUGAAAUUGGGAUUUAGUACUGAGUAAUAUACUAUCUCUGUUCAUAGACACUGGAUUCCUUAGAGUGCCAUGUUUUCUGAAUAUGGUGUGAACCUACCUCUGCUGCUGAUAACUAUAAUACAGUUUAAACUGACAAAAUUUAAGCACCAUUUUUAUAUGUGUUUUUGGCUCUGAUUCUACUUGUUUACAAAAUUCUGGUAACUUGUACCUCAGUAUACUAAUUAGUAAUUACAGUCUAGGUUGUUACUAUUGCACUUGUUAAAUGCUUAAACGAUUUAGUUGCAAAACAGCGGAUCUAGUUCUGAAAUACAGUAGCAUGUUCUGUUGUGUCAUCUUCUUCUUUCAGACAAAAUCAAGCCUUCCGAUGUUGGGCUUGAGCAGGAUGCGCAGCUAGCUCGCGGGUGGCCAAGCGCAGGAAAUGGACAAAAUGGUGGUCCUAGAGCGAUUCCACCUAUAAAAUAUCUACAUUUGUUUGAGUGUGACAGCUUUACCGUAAGUGUAGCGAGCAUAUAAAUUUUUAUGCUAGUGACUCAUUACGGAAUCAUAGGUAACUUGGUUCUGACAUCUUUGGCAGUUGGGAAUAUUUUGCAUGCCACCUUCUUCUAUCAUUCCUCUUCACAAUCACCCUGGAAUGACUGUGUUAAGCAAGCUCUUAUAUGGUUCCCUACAUGUAAAGUCUUAUGAUUGGCUUGACGUGCCUGGCCCGUCUGAUCAAUCACAAGGUAUGCCUACUUCGCUAAUUGUAUUAUAUGUAUGAUUUGCUAAUUGAUUUUUUCCCCCUCAAGUUGAAGCAAAUAAAGAAGUUGUAUAUAUUAAGUUAAGUUUUGUGCUUUUUAGAAUUUCUGUUCUGCGGACUGUAAAGCAAGCUUCCACUUCCCUUCUUGGGCAGGACUGCUAUUUAAGAAAGUUUUAAAGGAUAAUCUGUUUUCAGAAAACCUAGGGCAACAUUUUCUGACUCUUUAGAAGUAGUUGUGUGUGCACCUAGAAGGUUUUACUACUCUGUGACCUUUUGUGCCAAAACAUGUAAUGCACAGCACGUGUAAUUGCACAUAGACAUCUUUACUUGUCCAUGUUACGAAUAUAGGAGGUCAGUUUAGUUACAUAUACAAUCUUCAUAAUAAGUGCCAAUAGCCACAAGCUAGAAAGAACAAGUACAGUGUCCAUGUGUAAAGUAGAACUUUCUUUCUUUCUUUUUUUUUUUUUGUUGUUGGGGGGGGGGGGGGGGUGGGGGGGGGGGGGGGGGGGUUNGGUAGAGGGUAGAACAGGAAAGUGAGGAAUAUGUUUUUCAAUUUUUGUGAACUGACUGGAACCUUCUCGAUUAGUUAACUAUUUUUACAAUCAGUGACCAAUUUAUUCAAUUUUUGUGAACUGACUGGAACCUUCUCGAUUAGUUAACUAUUUUUACAAUCAGUGACCAAUUUAUUUUGCAAUUGUUAUUUUCGAUUUCAACUCUCAGAGAAUAGGGACUACUACCUUUUCAACUUAUUAAUCGUGGUGUACUCCACUUAAUUAAGGUCUUUAUUUGUCGUCUACUGUGCUGGGUCAUUUCUGUGGCAGUCACUAAAUAGACUACAAGGCAGACUUUUGUUUGGAAUUAAAUCUAUUUAUAUUUUUGUGAAACCAGUACAGUUAGAAUUCAGACAGAUUAUCAAGCACGCCAAUUGGCAAACUGACCAACUUUCAAAUUGUUAAUUCGUACUACUAGCACAUCCAACUGUGUACUGACUUUUAAUUUUUUUUCUUGUCAUUGUUCUAUCUCAUUCUAAGUUUUGGUGUUACUGUGUGUUUUUUGGAUUUAUGUUGACUUUUCUAAUAAAAAAAAUUUCUGAGUAUUGCUAAGGAAUUAUAGCAUUGUCACUGUACAAAAUUAUAGUUUAGUACAGUUCUAUGCACACUAUUGUCUCUUGGUGUGGCAUUAAAAUGUUUCUUAUUUGUACAUGUAAAUAAAAAGAUCGCCUAUAUCAAUUAACUAAUGUAUGUUAUAAAUUGCUGUUGCAUAUACUGAAAAGGAACGUUUACUGCUAAUCAAGCAUUAUGAAUUCGAACGUAACACUUAUCCUUAGUUCUAGCCUCUCUCUCUCUCUCUUUUUUAACGGGUUAUCCUUAAAUCACAUGAAGUUGCCUCGACAGAUGUGCUGACUUUUAGCGAAACAUGUACUUCGGCCUUUUAAUCUUUAAUAUUAUAAGUGUAGAACUAUUCCAAGUCAGUAUAACGGAAGCUGCGUGCUUAAUAGGUUUUCUGUGUAUAAUUGCUUGGAGCGGGAAUAGGAACAAUGGCCAUGCUAUUUGCAUUUUGUAGAUUUUGAGGUUGCAAGAAGCAGUUAAAUUGGGCAAUGAAUGAAAAGUUGCCUACAAAUAAGUAAGAAAAAGUAGAAAAUUUUUAGGGUUGUGGAUGAGGGAUAGCAUUCAUAUAAAGUGAUUCUUUAAUGCAUGCCUUUUGCUACUCGAUUUCUCAUCUGUAUGAUCUCUCUAACAAGUUGUAUUUUUUAUAAUAGCUGCUGAGAGACCUGCAAAGCUUGUUAAAGAUUGUGUUAUGACUGCACCUUGUGGAACAACAGUCCUUUAUCCAACUACCGGAGGCAACAUACAUUGUUUCAAGGCAAUCACUCCUUGUGCAAUCUUUGACAUUCU
rnacentral:lncRNA from 1 species